ACUCCAGAACAAAUCCAUUUUUCUUUACGCUUUUCUUCCAUCUUGCCCCUCCCCUCUCACUCUCAUCAUCGUCCAUCAGUUGCCUAUCCCUACCUUACCGCCCUAUCCCAUUUAAUUCUGUACGAUUCAUGUUCUUCUUCUUCAAUCAAAUCACUACUCCUUCAGUGUUGUUAUGUUAUCCAACUCAAUCGUUCCUUCUUCAAUUUGAUUAUCAGAUUCUUUAAUUCAAUUGUUCCUCCUUCAUUGGCCCUGUAUUUUUCCAGCCACCCCAUGUAUUAAGAAGUUGUCCAGACAUGAAGACAGAUCAGCGAUGAUGGUGUUCGGGCGAUGAAGGUGGUACGUGGUGGAUAAAGAGAAGGCCCAACAACGGUGGCUUUAGGGUUCCGUCGCAAUUCAGUAUGGGGGUCGUUAGGAUUCCAUCAGAUGAAUCCUCUGGUCAACUAUGGUGAAGGUACGUUUUCCAGUAAAAAUACUUGAGAUUUGGCAGUUACUACGAUGGCGAUUGAUGGCGACCACUAUGGUGGUUGAUUAACUCAGAUGGUGGAACCCCUUUCUUCUGCUCUGUUUUACAAAUUAGUUACUACAUUUAAUUACUUUGAUAUACCGAAUGAAUUUGCAAACUCAAAACACUUGCAGUGUUGUAUUUGUAUUAUUUUGUAGAACUGUGUAUGUUCCCUUGAGCUCUCAUGUCCAUACACGAGUUACAAUUACUUGAGCUAUAAUAGCAUGAGCAGCAAUCACCAUAUUAAGUUGAAACAAUCAAGAUAUGUCCCGCUUCAUUUGAAAACGUAUUCCCCUUAUGUUAGAGCCAAAAAUGUUUAGUUGGUUGAGAAGGAUGUGGAAAGGGCGUUGAUAGCGCACUAAUUGUUAUGAAACAACAGAAUUGAGCCGAAGAAGCAGUUUAAUUGAUUAAGUUUUUGCGAAGAAGAUGUUCGGAUAAGGCUCAAGAAAACCACAAGAUCACAAGGGAAGAAGUUUCUAAGUUUCGGUCGAGCAGGAGGCAACUCGGCUACUAGGGAUUUUGUGUUGGGCAUUAAUGCAACCAAACAAUUAUGUAGAAGCCAAGAUGCAUACCGAAGGGCGUUAAUGAUGGUGCUGGAUAA